GUAAAGGCCCUUUUCAGGGCCACACACAAUUUGAUUCCUAUGAUUU
rfam:Schistosoma mansoni, Puerto Rico, WGS project CABG01000000 data, contig: 0153